rnacentral:rRNA from 1 species
GACGAGCGCUGGCGGCGUGCUUAACACAUCCAAGUCGAACGGUGAAGCGCCUUCCUUUUUGGUGGGUGUGGAUGAGUGGCGAACGGGUGAGUAACACGUGAGUAACCUGCCCCCUUCUUCUGGAUAACCGCAUGAAAGUGUGGCUAAUACGGGAUAUUCUGGGUCUGUCGCAUGAUGGGUCUGGGAAAGAUAUUGUUUCGGUGGGGGAUGGGCUCGCGGCCUAUCAGCUUGUUGGUGGGGUGAUGGCCUACCAAGGCGGUGACGGGUAGCCGGCCUGAGAGGGUGGACGGUCACACGGGGACUGAGACACGGCCCAGACUCCUACGGGAGGCAGCAGUGGGGAAUAUUGCACAAUGGGCGCAAGCCUGAUGCAGCGACGCCGCGUGAGGGAUGGAGGCCUUCGGGUUGUGAACCUCUUUCGCCAGUGAAGCAGGCCUGCCUCGUUUGUGGGUGGGUUGACGGUAGCUGGAUAAGAAGCGCCGGCUAACUACGUG